rnacentral:rRNA from 1 species
UAUAAUUAAAUAUAGUUAUUAUUAAUUUUUACGAAAUAAUACGAGCUAAAAUUAUUUUUCUAUUAGGUACUAAGUUAAAUGUUGCAAUAUUUAAUAUAUAUUUACUUUUAGGGGCGAAAGACCUGUCAAGUAUUAUGAUAACUUAAUUAAUAGGAAACAUAUUUAGUAUGUAGACAUUAUGGUAAUGCUAAGGUUGCCAUAUAUCAUUAUCUUUAGUUAUUUUAACUAUAAAUUGUGUAAAAGCAAUUAUUUAGGAUAGUUGAAUAUUAAAUAUAGUGAGUAUAUGUAUAUUACUAUUAUAUGUAUUUAAUUAUAUUAUACAUGAAUAAUGUUAUAAUAAGUAUUUAGAUAAUUAUUAUAUAGGAACUCGGCAAAUAAAUUUCUCAACUGUUUAUCAAAAACAUUGCCUAAAGUUAGUAUUUUAGGUUAAUCCUGCUCAAUGGUAAUGCUAAAUAGCCGCAGUACCCUGACUGUGCAAAGGUAGCAUAAUCAAUUGACUUAUAAUUGAAGUCUGGUAUGAAUGGGUUUUUGGGGAAUAACUAUCUUUAAAAUAUAAAUAUAAAUUACUAAAUAAGUGAAAAUUCUUAUAGAAAUAUAAUAGACGAGAAGACCCUAGAAAUUUUUAAUAUAAUUAAUAAUUCUUUUUUGUUGGGGCGACAUUGUAACAAAUAACUUACAAUUAAAAUAUGACCUUAAUGUAUUGAAUAAAUAAAUUACUCUAGGGAUAACAGCAUAAUUUAUCAAAGUUUGUGACCUCGAUGUUGGACUAGGAAAUAUGUUAUUCAGAAGAUAACUGUAUUUGCUCUGUUCGAGCAGUCUUACCUACAUGAUCUGAGUUCAGACCGG